UAAGAAAUAGGUAAACGGAAUACCCCAAAACUUUGAAUUUUGAAUUAAGAGUUCAACCCUCUUUUUCUUAG
rnacentral:tRNA from 1 species